GACGGGAGGGGCAAGCGUUACCCGGAUUUACUGGGUGUAAAGGGUCCGCAGGCAGUCAAGUAAGUCUGACUUUAAAUCCUCUGGCUCAACCAGAGAACCGGGUCAGAAACUGCUUGGCUUUGAGUACGGAGGAGGAAAACGGAACUGCCGGUGUAGCGGUGAAAUGCGUAGAUAUCGGCAGGAACACCAGUGGCGAAGGCGGUUUUCUACUCCGAUACUGACGCUGAGGGACGAAAGCGUGGGGA
rnacentral:rRNA from 1 species